rnacentral:rRNA from 1 species
UACAGGGGGGGCAAGCGUUGUUCGGAAUUACUGGGCGUAAAGGGCUCGUAGGUGGCCAACUAAGUCAGACGUGAAAUCCCUCGGCUUAACCGGGGAACUGCGUCUGAUACUGGAUGGCUUGAGAUCGGGAGAGGGAUGCGGAAUUCCAGGUGUAGCGGUGAAAUGCGUAGAUAUCUGGAGGAACACCGGUGGCGAAGGCGGCAUCCUGGACCGACACUGACGCUGAGGAGCGAAAGCCAGGGGAGCAAACGGG